GACGAACCGAGCGAACGUUGUUCGGAAUCACUGGGCUUAAAGGGCGCGUAGGCGGGCUGUCAAGUCUGGGGUGAAAUCCCGCGGCUCAACCGUGGAACUGCCUCAGAUACUGACGGUCUCGAGGGAGGUAGGGGCGAGCGGAACUGAUGGUGGAGCGGUGAAAUGCGUUGAUAUCAUCAGGAACUCCGUUGGCGAAGGCGGCUCGCUGGACCUCUUCUGACGCUGAGGCGCGAAAGCCAGGGGAGCAAACGGGA
rnacentral:rRNA from 1 species